GCACACACCCAUGGCUCAGCAGUAGAACAUCUGCUUUGCAUGCAAAAAUUCCCAGGUUCAAUUCCUGGCAACUCCA
rnacentral:tRNA from 1 species